UACGGAGGGUGCAAGCGUUGUUCGGAUUUACUGAGCGUAAAGCGCGCGCAGGUGGGUGAACAAGUCGGAAGUGAAAUCUUGAGGCUCAACCUCGAGGCUGCUCCCGAAACUGUUCGCCUAGGGACUGGUAGAGGCUGGUAGAAUUCCCGGUGUAGCGGUGGAAUGCGUAGAGAUCGGGAAGAAUACCUGUGGCGAAGGCGGCCAGCUGGGCCAGAUCCGACACUGAGGCGCGAAAGCGUGGGGAGCAAACAGG
rnacentral:rRNA from 1 species